UACAGAGGUCUCAAGCGUUUGUUCGGAUUCAUUGGGCGUAAAGGGUGCGUAGGCGGCGCGGUAAGUCGGGUGUGAAAUCUUGGAGCUUAACUCCGAAACUGCAUUCGAUACUGCCGUGCUUGAGGACUGGAGAGGAGACUGGAAUUUACGGUGUAGCGGUGAAAUGCGUAGAUAUCGUAAGGAAGACCAGUGGCGAAGGCGGGUCUCUGGACAGUUCCUGACGCUGAGGCACGAAGGCCAGGGGGAGCAAACGGG
rnacentral:rRNA from 1 species